ensembl:lncRNA
GAGAGGGCUGGGAGGAGGCAACGACAUCUCCACACCAUCCCCACUUGAGCCAACCAUGUGGAAAAUUCUGGCUUGGCUCACUCAUGAGGUGGGAGUGAUGUGGGCAGAUACAUGUGGGUGCCAUAGAGGUGUGGGGGAAGAGCUGGCAGCGCAGACAGAAGACCCUCUGCAAGGUGACCUACACUGCUUUCAGGGGAAGGGGUGCUUGCACGAAGCAGAAGGCACAGAGCUUCUGGUGCCAUUCCUCCUCAGCAGGAGAGGAGCUGCUGGGGGAAAAAAAAAAGAGAACUUCUCCUUGCAGGGUGCUUUCCUCCCUCUAACAAGGUUCUUCCAGGUGCUGACAUAUGCAAAGACCCUUCCCUGGUUACAGGAGUAAAUACAAUUAGUGCAGCACAUUAUGCACUGCCUUCCUAUUUGUCGGUGCAUUCACCUCAGUGCAAGCAACACAAUGCCUGAGUGCCACUUACGUGCUACUGCCAACUCCAGCUGCCCCACGUACCCGAGUCAGACUUGAGGAGGCAUGCCUUAAAGAGCACAAGCACUGUGAGUAAAGCCUUCUGUAUGUGUCUGCAUUGUGUCACAGUCACAAGAUGAUCACUGUAUACGAUAGAUCGUCGCUGUGUUCCCUGAUACCCCGAAGAUUGCACAGUUUAGUGGGAUCACUGCUCACUGUUAUGAAAACCUUCAGUCUCAAAGGAUGAUUCAGGGCCAAUUGCAGAGAGUGAGACCAAAGCACGGCUGGGAUUCCUGGAUUCAGUCUGCCUCCUGUGCCACAGGUGAUGUGCCCUCUGGUGAGAUGCAGUGUGGAAUGAUCCCAUGAUGUAGGUGAGGAUUUCGGAGGGGGUCUCCAGGGAACAGACAGUGACAUUGUUCUGUCUCAGCCUGCCCAGGAGCCGUUCCGCUGCACAGGUACAGUAUAUAGCAUGCUGGAUGUUAAUUCAAAUUUCAUGUACAUUUUGAAAGAGCUGAAUGUGGCCUUUGUGUAACGCUUUGGCUCACAAGGGCUUUUUCAUAAGAAAUUCUAUUUAAAUGGAAUAGAAAACUUUCUGAUAGUUACCAAACACCACAAAACAAUGGCAGGCUAUAUCUGUUCAUCAUCAUCAGCCAUUCAUUUAUCCUAGGAAGGAAUUUCUUGUUGAUAAUCCUGAGUGAAGGCUUGCUUGUUCGCAUGACUGGAUGAGAUCCAGGAACGAUAGCACCUUGCUGAAACCUUUAAGUGUCAAGCUGAAACUGCAUCAGAGAAAUAACGAAGCUGAGCCCCAGGAGUGCCACUGGACCCUGUGGCUUGUGCUGCCCUGCCCAGGCAGACUAGGAGCAUCUCGUCCAGAGGAAGAAAGGAGGAUGGAGGCCAGAAACGAGAGAUGUGGGAGGAAUCCAGACAGACAGAGACCAGCUCAGUAGAGCUAAGAUCUUCUUGGCUUGGCGGAUGCCUGACCCGCCAGGGGAUGGUGGAAGCAUUUUGAAAGAGCAGAAGAUCCAAAAGACUGUGAUGAAAACUUGAAGGAACAUAAAUCUCUUUCCAGACUGCUCAUGAGCAGAACAGUAAAAGAUGUAUGUUGCAAAGGUAAUUCAAUGCAUGUCUCAAUUCCAGGGAAAAAGGUGCUCAAAGAUAAACUAUUCCUUAAAACCUCAACUAAGAGUUUCUAGAAUCAAAAAUAUUUUCGAAGAUUUUAGUGUAGUUGGAUGGGCAGCUUGUUCCAACCACCAGGAUGCUUUUAUGUGCAUUCAUGAAUAAAACCCACUUCCUCCAACCCUGCGACAACAGAGCAAUAAACAGGAACAUCUCUCCAGGGCCCUGCGUGGUCUGAGUCUGAAGCAGCGUUACUCAACCUGAGAGCCAGACAGCAGCAAGGCCAAACAACACAAAGAGAAGGAGAAAUGGAGGGAGAAGGAAAAAAAAAAAAAAGAUAAAAUGCAUAGCGUUGGGCUUGAUGUUCCUUCAAUGGGAGUAUGAACUUUAUGGCUUUGCUGCACAAAACUGUUGGUGUUGUUCAAAGAGAAUAGGUGACCAGUGGACAAAGAUGCCCUUACCAACAGCUGUUAAUCAGCAACUCACAAGACUAGGAACAGCCACAUGAGACUUACACAAAAGAAGAUCAGCCUGAAGUACAACCUGAAUCCACUGAUCCCAUUUCUGCUCUGUAUUUAACAGUACCAUUAUGGAGUACAUAAUUCAAUGUCUUCUGAAGCCAUGAGAAAUGUUUUCUACCUACGUGCUAAGACCAAUGGUGGUUGUAGAUCAAUCCCGAAGGACCAAAUCUAAACCAUUUACUUUGACUAGCCUACAGCAGGCCUGGACAAGAUUUUAGUAAUACAGUGCUUUAUAACAGUAAUUCUGUCUAAUGAAGAAGAGUCAUGAUGAAACUGCUUCAUGCUCUUAAAAUAUUCUCCAUUAUAUUACUCAUGCUCUUUGAAAUAUCUAUUAAUUUUUUCUUCUCCUCUUUUGAAUGUUUGACAGUGCAGUCACAGGCUGUUCCUUCUGUAGUGGAAAUUAAGAGACAGACCAGGUCUAUCCCUCAAGAGCCAGCAAUUGAACUACACCUGAAGUAAGAACAGCUGGAGUGGAAGGCAUCAGUCAUGCCAGAAGCCAUGCUGUGGGACAUCUGGUACCAAUGCACACAGCUAGAGGAUAGAAAAGCCAGGGGGAUUAUGCAUUGUCUCCUUUUUCUUCCUCUCCUCUCCUCUCCUCUCCUCUCCUCUCCUCUCCUCUCCUCUCCUCUCCUCUCCUCUCCUCUCCUCUCCUCUCCUCUCCUCUCCUCUCCUCUCCUCUCCUCUCCUCUCCUCUCCUCUCCUCUCCUCUCCUCUCCUCUCCUCUCCUCUCCUCUCCUCUCCUCUAUUUCAUUCUGCAGAGCACAUGUAGCAUCAUAAACAAAGCAAGAAAAAAAAAAAUGAAGUGCUGGUAAACAAGACUCCAGAUGGAAACCCCAUCUCAAAAACUGAGUUUGAGAGGAGAUCAAUGGUCUGUCUCUCAAAACUGAAGAGGGGAAUGAACAGCUAAGGACCCAGUAUCCUCCACCCCAGCUCUCCUGCCUGCAGCAAUUCUAAGGCAAGGUGAAUACUUUCCCCACAGGGAGUUGUCAGUAUGAUGGCAUCAUAGGAAACAGCCACGACUUUCUGUAGGGCAGAGCUGUGCAGCCUUCAGAGAUAUUCUGAGAUGCUCUUGGCCUGAGACGGAACUUGUUGUGGGGAAUCACAGAAGGAAGGAGUUUCAGAGAAUCAUAGAAUCACUGAAUCAUAGAACCAUAGAAUUGUUAAGGUUGGAAAAGACCUUUAAGAUCAACUUGUUCAAUCUGUGAAUGUCAGAAGGCAGAUGGGGGUAGAUGCCACAGUACAUUUGCUGCAGUACCUAACUCAGAAACCUCUUUGGUGCUUGUUUGCUGAAAGCUGGAAGAACAUUUGAGUGUAAGGAUGACUCUGUUCUGGUCUAUAUCUGAUAUGCUCUCCGUAAGUAUUUCCUACGUGGCAGAAAAUAAUUACCAGAGUAAGUGAGCUUCCAGCCAGAUAUGAGGAACCUAAUAAAUUGUGAUGACUGUAGGAAGUAGCAGGGGAUGGCAAGAAGGUAACCAGUCCCCCUCUGACUCGCAAGGCAGAUCAGCUUGUUUCUGUACCACUUUCCCAGGGACCCUCGAUACCUCUCUUUCAUGAAAGAGGACAGCUCCCCAAAUAACCCCCUCAACAUCUCACACCCAUCCCUCGACAGGAAUUAGCCUCCUUUCUUUGCACAGUAAAAAUUGAUUCAGGUCUGUGUUAUCUUGCAUCUUGAAAACAGCCUCCUUUCCUUUGCCUUUGGCCACAUCUGCCUUAAUGCAGCUGGACCAUCUAGGUCAAUUAUCCCUAGUGGGAUCUCCAUUGUGAUUUCUUUUGACCAUCAUUUUACUGCAGUAUUGAACACAACCUUGUCUUUGUCCUAAAGGCCCAUCGUGGCUUAGUCACCUACUCAUUUUUCCUAGCAAACCUGUCUUCUAUUAUCACCUUCAUGCACUUCCUUGAUUGGAUAGUCAUUAACUUCCUCUACGGGUAGAGAGGUUUUCUCAAAACUCAUAUCAACUGCAAGAUGAAAUGGGAUAUAUUUGAACAACAAUUAUCCCAGUCUUUCCUUAAAAUGUCUUAUAUAAUCCUGUAGAACUUGUCAUUGCCACUGAUGCUUCUGUGUCAUGCUGUCUGCUGAGAGCCCUGUUAAAUAUUUACUGUUAUUCUUGCAGGUGAACAUCUCUCCUGAUACCUCCUGCAUUUCACUCACCUAUUAGUCUUGCCUGCUUACAGUAGAACAUCUCCCCCUUCCAACAGGUCCACAAGCAACAGAAACGUCAGCGUCUCAUGCUGUCAAAGGUUGCACAACGGUAAAAGUCAUGCCACUGUACACUGUUUUAAACCACAUGCUUUUUACAGUGUAUCUACACAGAUCUUUGAACAAGAGUGGGUCAUCUAGGUAUCCCUGCUAUCCAGGCAACAGCAUACAUGCAGCACCAGAAGAAGCCAACUCCAAGGCUGUAUGGGAAAGGAAUGGGUAGUAUCAGGGCCUCAAUCCAGCAGGUUCUGCUUUUCUCUCUCUCAGUUCUGCUAGUUGCCCUGUAAGUGAUGCUAAGGGCUAUCCUUUCUCAUCCAAGAACAGCUUACAGCCAUUUGGGAAAAACUUCUAUCAGCAGCUCUAUCCUCUGUCUGGUUUUCCUAAAGAAGAUACAGACGCCUUGGACUGGAUUAUCACAGCAGUGCAGGUGGGCAUGUUUUUCUGCCUAAACUUUACUGGCCCAUUGAAAGCUGCUCUGUGAUGAACCUAUACUGUUGGUGUGAAAAGCAAGGACUGCUCACACGGUGUGUCUCUGGGAACGUAGAAACCAGCAAGAAUUGUGGCUCCACUGCUCUGGUUCCCUGUGGAGCUGCUGGAGAGGCUCACUGCUCAGAUCUGGUUGUUGUUGGCCAUUGAGUGCCCCUACGUGGGAAAGCGGUGCUUCGAUAUUGUGGAAACUGCCUGUGGGAAGGUGUCGAUUCUCACAGCAUUUCGGAGAAGGCACAAGGCUUUCCAGCUUAUUGAAACGUUUGUUUUGACUUUUAUAAUAUAGUACAAAAGCCUUCAAGUUUUGUCUAUUAAAUUGCUGUGCCAAAAUAUUAUGACGGGUCACGGAAUAAUAGUCUUACUGUUUUGACUCUAAAGCGUGCUACGACAUGGGUCAAGCUGAUGAAAUCAAAAUGAAAUUACUGUUUUGUUUUGACAAGAUUGUGUUUCUUUUCCAUUUGUUUGAUAAAGUCAAAGCAAAGAUCUCCGUUGGAUUUUUCCGCAGUAUGGCCUCAACGUUUCAUUUUCUCAUUCAGGUGUGGGUUUUGAAUGGAACAUAAUGUUUUGUGCCCAGAUCAUAGAGGGAAAGAUGCAUGUGGGUAGCACCUCAGAGUCACAGUUCAGCCCCGAUUUUCUGAGGACUGUACCCAUUGCUUCGUCAGCUUUAGCAAAGAGAUCUUUGUGAAAGUUCAAUCUUGGCCUGCGGUGCUAGUGUCAUACUUUGAGCUAUGCCACCUUCUGCUGUUGUAGUUCCCAGUCACCGUCCCCUUCUGUUUAGCCACCUGGAACCCACUCCAGAAGCUGGCUGAGAAGAAGUAGCUCCUGAAAACUCAUCCUUUGUGACCUGCUGAGUCAGGAAGCCUCUAAAAUAUAGAAUAAAACUGUCCUUAGACCAUAGAGCCCAAUGGUACAGAUGUGCGGCAGCCAGUCUUGUCCAUCUCUCAUGCAUGUGGCAUCCCUGAAUCUAUUCCCAAACCUUGCCGCUCCCCUGUGAUGUUAGGAGAGUGCCCGUUCCUGCUUUCCCCUCCCAAGCUCUGUCUGGUUGGACUGGGGUGUUUCCCGGGCUGAAACUGUGGCUUGCCUUUAUUGUGUGCAAAGUACCUGGAGCAUGAUGGAGAUCUCACACUCUGCUUCUGGUGACAGACCUGACACAUACCUGAAGUGCCCGUUGGCCCGCAGCCAGUGGAAAGUUCCCUUUCUCACCUGGAUGCAGUCAGAGCGGUGGCCAUGUAAAAAAUGGCACCACCUCCCGCCAGGUGUGAGCGGCCGAGAACAGCACCUACCUGGCAAAGCAUUCGAGCGUGGAGACAUUUUCCCAAUGAUCUACGUCAACAGAUGACUGAAGGCUUGGUCUUAUAUCCCUGCACUGAGCUGGGCAGUGAGGCUCUUCCUGGACUAUGGCCUUGGACCUGCUUUUAGAACAGCCUCAGGACCCACCUUACUCAGUGCUAAAGGAUUCCCGUUCUGGCUCAGGCCUGAAGGCAAAUGGUUGAAGACAGUGUUAUCUUGCCAAUUUUUUUUUUCUUUUGUUAUUUUCUCCAAUAACGAGAAACUUGUGGGGGAGGUUUUCUUUCUUUUCCAUUCCAUGGGAGUUUGGUAACUAGUCAAACUGCUAGGUCAGCAACAAUAUGUGCCAAGCCUAACCAGAAUCAGAGAGAGGCCAAACAUACUUGAAGAGGGAACUGAAGAGGGUGACAUCUGUUUGUGUCUAGGAUCCCCUCUGCCAACCAGAUAGAGGUGACCCUCUUCACCAGUCCCAUGGUUUUGCCAGUUCAUCAUCCUAAUAGAGAUCCGUGCAGAUGUUUUACAAGAAGGAAUGAUUUUCUUCAGAAAUUCCAAUGGGGAGGCUUCAGCUGUGAAGGCCUUUCUGUGCCUCUUAGAUGCCUAUGUUCUUUGUCUAGCAGAUACAGUGAUGAAUCCUGGGGAGAAGUAAACAGAAGAGAUAAAGUCUCUGAAGCCCGGAGCUUAUUUGGCUGGUGUCUGUUUAAAUGCCACACAACAAAGCUUUAUUAGCACAAAGCAGCAAGGUCUGCAUGUGGCCAGAAGUCUCUCCUGCCUGUUGUCUCUGCAUAGUCCAUGUACUCACUCCUUAUCCCUGGUUUAUACAGCUGGUCCGAAGACCACCCCAGGUAACAAAGAAAACAACAGCUCUUGAAAGAUCUGCUGGGAAUAGGAAGAUGUCGUAUUAUUUACCCGGCUGGAUUUAUGCAUGUGUGCAUGUGUUUAACAAGGAGCCCGGUGCCUGCUGGACUCCUGAGGCUGGAAUUUAUACAGGCCAGCAUUUGGCUGCUGCAGUUUAUCUUGAAUGCUAGAAUAAUAAACUCAGCUGACAGGAUGAUGUAUGCAAAGCAUCUUCUCCUCCCACGGCGUGCGGUAGAGGUGUCUGGUUUGCAGGGAGUCCUAUUAUUAAGUGAUUAUCCUUGCAACAUUAUCAAUAUCAGAUUGCUUAAGGGCUUUGGGGGACCAGCAGUACAGUAGGAGUUUAUGUUUAUCCAUCAUAAUGGCAGUCAGAUGCGGAGGGUGCUGUGAGAACGUUACCUGUGUAGGUGAAAUGGACGUAUGGGUUUGCCACAUGGAGAGUCCAAAAUUUUUGCAAAAGAACACAAAGCUACACCUUUAUCGUUGUUAGUUUCAUUACGAGUUAACUUCUGCUGCAUUGUUUUAAUGUCCCUCAUUGUUUCUUCCUUUCUUGUCAGAUUAUUGUCUCUUGUUCAGAAAGAACAAAAACAAAAAGUCCCAAGCGCCACCGAAUAUGGUAUUUUCUUGACUUUUCAGGGAAGGCCAAUUUAUCCACCCCUAAUCACGUUUCAGCAUCCAGACAGCUGCAGACUCCUCCGUGUGAGUCUGCCAGUUCAGCUGGCGCUCUGGUACCUCAAGAAGACCAGGUCUUUGGAUCCUUUGUCAUACCCUGAAAGGAUGCCGAACAGACCAUAGAAUCAUUAAGGUUGGAAAGACCACUGAAUCAUCUAGUCCAACCACUGACCCAUGCCAAUGACCACACUAGACCAUGUCCCUCAGUGCCACAUCUACACUGUUCUUGAACACCUCCACGGACAGUGACUCCACCACCUCCCUGGGCAGCCUGUGCCACUGCCUCACCAUAGGAAACAUCACCUCGCUGUACUGGAUAUGUUUCACCCUGAAUAGCCUUCAAGACCCACAUCUUAAAAGGCAGAUCAAGCACUUCAGAGAACCUUACUGUAUGUAUUUAAAUUGCAUCCUGUUCACAUCAUAAAUAAUGCUUACCCUACCCGUUUUAUACUGCUGUAAGCCCUUCACGGC